rnacentral:rRNA from 1 species
CAGGCCUAACACAUGCAAGUCGAACGAAGGCUUCGGCCUUAGUGGCGCACGGGUGCGUAACGCGUGGGAAUCUGCCCUUAGGUUCGGAAUAACAGUUGGAAACGACUGCUAAUACCGGAUGAUGACGUAAGUCCAAAGAUUUAUCGCCUGAGGAUGAGCCCGCGUAGGAUUAGCUAGUUGGUGUGGUAAGAGCGCACCAAGGCGACGAUCCUUAGCUGGUCUGAGAGGAUGAUCAGCCACACUGGGACUGAGACACGGCCCAGACUCCUACGGGAGGCAGCAGUGGGGAAUAUUGGACAAUGGGCGAAAGCCUGAUCCAGCAAUGCCGCGUGAGUGAUGAAGGCCUUAGGGUUGUAAAGCUCUUUUACCCGGGAUGAUAAUGACAGUACCGGGAGAAUAAGCUCCGGCUAACUCCGUGCCAGCAGCCGCGGUAAU